CAUAAGAUUACAGUACCGCAUGAUACAGUGAUCAAAGGAGCAAUCCGCUGAAAGAUGGGCUCGCGUCCGAUUAGAUAGUUGGUGAGGUAACGGCUCACCAAGUCGACGAUCGGUAGCCGGACUGAGAGGUUGAACGGCCACAUUGGGACUGAGACACGGCCCAGACUCCUACGGGAGGCAGCAGUGGGGAAUAUUGCACAAUGGGCGAAAGCCUGAUGCAGCAACGCCGCGUGAGGGAAGACGGUUUUCGGAUUGUAAACCUCUGUUUUCGGUGACGAAUAAAUGACGGUAACCGAGUAGGAAGCCACGGCUAACUACGUGCCAGCAGCCGCGGUAAUACGUAGGUGGCAAGCGUUAUCCGGAAUUACUGGGUGUAAAGGGAGCGCAGGCGGGAUAGCAAGUCAGUUGUGAAAACUAUGGGCUCAACCCAUAGAUUGCAGUUGAAACUGUUAUUCUUGAGUGGAGUAGAGGCAAGCGGAAUUCCGAGUGUAGCGGUGAAAUGCGUAGAUAUUCGGAGGAACACCAGUGGCGAAGGCGGCUUGCUGGGCUCUAACUGACGCUGAGGCUCGAAAGUGUGGGGAGCAAACAGGAUUAGAUACCCUGGUAGUCCACACUGUAAACGGUGAUAACGAGGUGUGGGGGGUCUGACCCCCUCCGUGCCGG
rnacentral:rRNA from 1 species